rnacentral:lncRNA from 1 species
GAGAAUUUUAGAGGGUUGGCAAUAGCUUCACUCUAAUUCCAAUCUCUUAAAAGGAAACAAGUCAUUAAGACAUUACUUACUUACUCCAUGCAGCUAGGCUAAGCUUAGCCCUUCUCGCUGAAAGUACAAGAUGUAGAUAAAGGCGCAGAUUUAUAACCUAACAGCUUUAGUUAAGAUAUUCCAGUUCUUGAUAAAUAUUUGCAUUAAGCAAAAUAUAUAAGUAACUAAAAAGUCGAUGAUCACAUAAAGAGCGAAGGUUCCUCUCAUCCUCCUCCUCCUCAAGGCUUCAGUGAGUGAUGCCAAUUUCCAAUAGGGUUUGGCCCGGAAGGCACCUUAUGAACCGUAACUUUAGCCAACCUCCUUGAUUUAAUCUUUUCGCAUAAACAAAAAUUAAAAUUUGUGUUAGUAGAGAAUCGCAUGGAAGAUAUCAGGCGGUAGCAUAUUAAAUUAAAUUACCUUGUUUACCCAAGUAGCUAAUAUGUACCGGCUGGCUGAGCUCAUUCUUGAUUUUCCAGUCUCAAGCUUAAAAUCAACUGCAUGAACAGCGAUCACAACUAGAAGUAAUGCUAAUAAUAAUUAUUUUUUUAACAAACUUAUCAGUUGCAAAGGCUGGAAGCACAAGUACUUGCCUGAUUCUGCAGCUUGAAUUGUGAUGGCCGCGGCGAAACUGCAAUAAGAAACCAUAAGGAAUGCCAAGAAGAGACUAACGUAUGCUUUAUUCUUCAUCGUGACAUAAACCUUUUGCAUUCAUGAUUAAGCAGGAAAAACAUUAGCCUAUAAUAUAGUUGAGAGAAUUAUUCAAUUAAUCAUUGCCUAGUCUGAUGAGUU